CAGGUCUGUGAUGCCCUUUAGAUGUUCUGGGCCGCACGCGCGCUACACUGAUGCAUUCAACGAGCCUAUCCUUGGCCGAGAGGCCCGGGUAAUCUUUGAAACUGCAUCGUGAUGGGGAUAGAUUAUUGCAAUUAUUAGUCUUCAACGAGGAAUGCCUAGUAAGCGCGAGUCAUCAGCUCGCGUUGAUUACGUCCCUGCCCUUUGUACACACCGCCCGUCGCUCCUACCGAUUGGGUGUGCUGGUGAAGUGUUCGGAUUGGUUUCAGUUGGUGGCAACAUCGAUUGAGACUGAAAAGUUCCCUAAACCCUCCCACCUAGAGGAAGGAGAAGUCGUAACAAGGUUUCCGUAGGUGAACCUGCGGAAGGAUCAUUG
rnacentral:rRNA from 2 species